AUAUACGCGUGAAGCAUAUGCCUGCAAACCUACCAUUCAAAAUGCUACUAAGACCAGAGAGGAAGAGCUCGGAACCAAACAGACAUUUAUCUGCCAGUCAAACUUCGUAAAACUCAAACUCCUUUUCAAGAGACCAAACUCAUCAGACGAAAAUCAUUUAGCUUGGUGAAAGCAUCGCAGCAGAGUAUGGGGAGAACAACCAGCACCACCAGUUCAGAGAUGUUCAUGCACAGGAAAUAUACCAGGGAAUCGCCGCAACAUUAAGAAGAGCCUGCCAAAAGAUGACGAUUCAAAAAGUACAGAUAAUUAUGUAAGACGCUUUAUCUUCCAGGAGAACAAAAUCAAGCAAGAAGAGGAAUCAAAGGCAAGAUGCGAGCACAUAAAAAGAGGAGGGGGUGAAGGAAAAGGAGAGGACAAGAUCAAGAGCUCAAAGCAUCUCCAUACCUCUCAAAAAAUAACAAAACAGGAUGAAGAACUUAAAAAAAGAAGAUAGCGAGGUAGAAGACAAAAUAUGAAGAAUAAGGAAGGGUGUGAAGAGAGAGUUUGAAAAGUGGGCAAGAGACAGAGCACAUAGGUAAAUUUUUGUCAUACUCGUGCAUAAUUCCAUUAUUCCACAAAAAAAAGCCCAUUUAGAAGCUUUAA